AGGGCCUUAGUGCAUGUGAGGCGAGCAUUCUACCAACUGAGCUAUGUCUCCAGCCCCUCUCAUUGUCUUUUAAAAUACCUUUCAAUUUUUGUAUCACAGUGUAAAAAGUAACAUAAAUUUUGGUUACAAAACAUCAAAUGAUAUAAAUAAAUCCCCAAUAAAAUCUGUUAUAUUUAUAAGUUUAAAAUUAUCAUUACAGACAACUUUAAUUUGGAGAACACCAGCUUGUUAAAAUGCUCCUUUAAACCUUUUACCUUGUAUACCUGAAAGAUAUGAACACAAUUAAUAUGUAAAGAAGAGUAAUGUACCACAAUUACAUUGAUGUUUUUAUAGUAACCAAGUUUAGCUUUUAAAGAAAAAUCUAGACUCUGUAAUGUAGAACAAUAUUCUAAAAUGACAGUUGCUGUUUAACUACAGAUGUACAAACCUUAAUUUCUCCAAGAUUAGUUGCUCUAGAGAAUAAAACCUCAGAUACAAUGUAAUUAAUAUAUUAAGAAGUUUUUUUUUUUUUUUUUUUGAGAGAGAGAGAGUGAAUUUUUCAAUAUUUAUUUUUUAGUUCUUGGCGGACACACAUCUUUUUUUUUUUAUGUGGUGCUGAGGAUCGAACCCAGCGCCCCGUGCUUGCCAGGCGAACGCGCUACCACUUGA
rnacentral:lncRNA from 1 species